UAAUAUUGUGAUUGCUUGUUUUACUUAUUCCGGAAGAAACCUCCCAGAAUAAAUCUAUAUAAGGGGAUUCGAACACAGGGAAUGAUUAGUUGCUUAAGUGUUCACGUUAGGGUCACACAAUCAAUUACCUCCUGAAUGUAUCAUCUCUAUUUCUAAUAUCUGAAUACACAAGGAAACUAUAAUCUCCUCCUUCACCUUAUCGGUCUCUUCCUUACAGCAAUUCAGUCAUACCAAUAACUGCUAUCUCCACCAAUAUAUUCACCUUCAUAAUCUCCAACUGUAAUACUAUGCUUUCACAGCUUUCAUCACACAAUUACCUUCAUUCCAAUCACUUGAAUUCUUCACAUAGAACUGCCAUUCACAUUAUAGUGUUUCAUACAAACACAGACUCAUUCUCUCUACUGAAUUACAAUCAGAUUUCAGCAUUCAAUCUUUCUUCUUCUCAAAUAAUACCAAUCACAUUUUCAUUCCAUAAUUCACUUCACAAUAUUCAGAAACUUUCAAUCCUCUUAUUCAAAGAAAAUAACAAACAAAAGAAAAGAAGUAGCACCAAGCUUUUUCGGGCUCACAAUAUCACAGCAAUGGCUCUCGACUCACAACUCUCAUAGUCUGGCAUUCUCUUCCCCUCUCCCAUCCUCCUUAUACUACCCCGAGAUACCAACUCCUAUACUACAGAUGAUAACUACUUUUCCUGACUAUUCAUCCAUUCUACCUGCUGAACCAUCUUUUCAGCAGUUAUCUAUCCAUG
rnacentral:lncRNA from 1 species